CCUACGGGCGGCAGCAGUGAGGAAUAUUGGUCAAUGGGCGAGAUCCUGAACCAGCCAAGCCGCGUGAGGGAAGACGGCCCUAUGGGUUGUAAACCUCUUUUGUCGGAGAACAAAACCCGGGACGUGUCCCGGACUGCGUGUAUCCGAAGAAAAAGCAUCGGCUAACUCCGUGCCAGCAGCCGCGGUAAUACGGAGGAUGCGAGCGUUCUCCGGAUUUAUUGGGUUUAAAGGGUGCGGAGGUGGGUUGUUAAGUCAGCCGUGAAAGUCCGGGGCUCAACCCCCGGCCGCCCGUUGAAACUGGCAGUCUCGAGUGGGAGAGAGGUAUGCGGAAUGCGCGGUGUAGCGGUGAAAUGCAGAGAUAUCGCGCAGAACUCCGAUUGCGAAGGCAGCAUGCCGGCUCCACACUGACGCUGAGGCACGAAAGCGUGGGUAUCGAACAGGAUUAGAUACCCCAGUAGUC
rnacentral:rRNA from 1 species